rnacentral:rRNA from 1 species
AGUGAACGCUGGCGGUAGGCCUAACACAUGCAAGUCGAACGGCAGCACAGUAAGAGCUUGCUCUUACGGGUGGCGAGUGGCGGACGGGUGAGGAAUACAUCGGAAUCUACUUUUUCGUGGGGGAUAACGUAGGGAAACUUAAGCUAAUACCGCAUACGACCUACGGGUGAAAGCAGGGGAUCUUCGGACCUUGCGCGAUUGAAUGAGCCGAUGUCGGAGUAGCUAGUUGGCGGGGUAAAGGCCCACCAAGGCGACGAUCCGUAGCUGGUCUGAGAGGAUGAUCAGCCACACUGGAACUGAGACACGGUCCAGACUCCUACGGGAGGCAGCAGUGGGGAAUAUUGGACAAUGGGCGCAAGCCUGAUCCAGCCAUACCGCGUGGGUGAAGAAGGCCUUCGGGUUGUAAAGCCCUUUUGUUGGGAAAGAAAAGCAGCAGGUUAAUACCCCGCUGUUCUGACGGUACCCAAAGAAUAAGCACCGGCUAACUUCGUG